CAAAGUGUAGUAUCUGUUCUUAUCAGCUUAAUAUCUGAUACGUGGCCUAUGUGGUCACUACGAUAUUAAACUGAUUUUUGGACACUGGUGAGAUGUCCGGGGCUUGCUCCGCUCUCGCCGCGGGUCGGC
rnacentral:snRNA from 1 species